AGGUUGCUUCUCCAUUUCUGGAGCCACAUCUAGUCCGAAUGGCCAAAGUUGAUCAAAACAGAGUUCGUUAUAUGGAUUUACUCUGGCGGUAUUAUGAGAAGAACAGAAGUUUCAGUAAUGCUGCUCGUGUACUGUCCAGACUGGCUGACAUGCAUAGCACAGAAAUUUCACUUCAGCAGCGACUAGAGUACAUUGCUCGAGCCAUUCUUAGUGCCAAAAGUUCCACUGCCAUUUCAUCAAUAGCUGCCGAUGGUGAAUUCCUUCAUGAAUUGGAAGAAAAAAUGGAGGUUGCUAGGAUCCAACUUCAGAUACAGGAGACACUACAAAGGCAGUAUUCCCAUCAUUCUUCUGUACAGGAUGCAGUUUCUCAGCUGGAUUCUGAGCUGAUGGACAUAACUAAGGUAAUAAAAAAGCAAGUGAAGUUUUUAUAGUAGUCACCUAAUAAUGAGAAAUUUUUUUUUUUGCUUUUUGUUUCCUGGGGAAAAUUACUUUAUCUCCACAAAUAAGAUAAGGCAUCUUUGGCAGCUUGUCACUGGGCUGACAGAUCACCACUGCUUCAUCUGACUCCUAGAAAAGGCUAAGCUACUCUCUCCAGGCCAGUAGCUACAAAGAACCUAUCAGCCUCACAUGAGAGCUGUGUUAAAACCAGCUUAUUUCCAGCCUGGGCAACAUGGUGAAACCUCAUCUCUACAAAAAAAUACCAAAAAAGGCCAGGCACUGUGGCUCACACCUGUAAUCCAGCACUUUGGGAGGCUGAGGCGGGCAGAUCACCUGAGGUCAGGAGUUUGAGACCAGCCUGGUCAACAUGGGGAAACUC
rnacentral:sRNA from 1 species